rnacentral:rRNA from 1 species
CCUACGGGAGACAGCAGUGAGGAAUAUUGGUCAAUGGGCGAGAGCCUGAACCAGCCAAGUCGCGUGAAGGAUGACGGCCCUACGGGUUGUAAACUUCUUUUGUCAGGGAGCAAUUGGGUCCACGCGUGGGCUUAGCGAGAGUACCUGAAGAAAAAGCAUCGGCUAACUCCGUGCCAGCAGCCGCGGUAAUACGGAGGAUGCGAGCGUUAUCCGGAUUUAUUGGGUUUAAAGGGUGCGUAGGCGGAAUAUCAAGUCAGCGGUAAAAAUUCGGGGCUCAACCCCGUCGUGCCGUUGAAACUGAUGUUCUUGAGUGGGCGAGAAGUAUGCGGAAUGCGUGGUGUAGCGGUGAAAUGCAUAGAUAUCACGCAGAACUCCGAUUGCGAAGGCAGCAUACCGGCGCCCGACUGACGCUGAGGCACGAAAGCGUGGGGAUCGAACAGGAUUAGAUACCCCAGUAGUC